rnacentral:rRNA from 1 species
AAUGAACGCUGGCGGCAUGCCUAACACAUGCAAGUCGAACGGGACCAUAGGGACUAGUUGCUCACGGGUGCGUCACGCGUCGGAACGUGCCCUUAGGCUUGGAAUAACUCCCUUUCAGGGGUGCUAAUACCGGAAAAUGUAUUCGGAUCCAACAUUCAUCGUACUUGUAUGGGCCGGCGUUGGUUUAACUUGUGGCUAGUGUAAAAGCCUAUCAAGGCGACGCUCCAUAGCUGGUCAGAGAGAAUGAUCAGCCACACUUAGACUGGGACACGGCCCAGACUCCUACGGGAGGCAGCAGUGGGUAAUAUUGGACAAUCGGCUGAAGCCUGAUCCAGCAAUGCCUCUUGAGUGAUGAAGUCCGGAGAGUUAUAAAGCUCUUUUACCCGGGAUGAUAAUGACGGUACCGAGAGAAUAAGCACCGGCUAACUCCGUG